UGAAAUGGGAUGUGAAGGAAGUGGAGAUGGCGGGUGGAAAGCGUGGGAAGCGAGAAGCCGUGCGGGAGUGGCGAAGAAACACCGUGGCGAUUCGAAACAUUUUGAAAAGUGGGGACAAGUUAGGUUUUCGUUGUCUUUUGAUUAAAAAGAUGAGUGUGAAAAGUUGAGUGUUACCUUAUAUAGAGGCAGAGAGCUAGUUCAACAAGUGGGAUGCUCACUAGGAUUGUGGGCUGAGCCAUGGAGCAAUGAAUGUGGGCUGGGCUGCUUCUCAAGGACGCAUCAAACUCGCCAGAUUGUGGGCUGGGCCAUGAAGUAAUGAUUGUGAGCUGGGCUGCUUCUCAAGGACGCAUCAAACUCGCCAGAUUGUGGGUUGGGCCAUGGAGAAUUGAUUGUGGGCUGAGCUGCUUCUCACGGACGCAUCAAACUUGCCAGAUUGUGGGCUGGGCCAUCAAAUGAUGGCCCAUUGGGCUUCUUGGUGGAUCGCGGGUCAUAGGAGUAGGGUCAUAGGAGUAGCUUUGCGGAUCGCGGAUCAUCAUAGGAGCAGAUUGGGGAGCAAAAGAAUCAUAUAGACACAAAGGAAAAUAAAACAAGAACAACUCAAAUUCAAAAAAAAAAAAAAAAAGAGGUGGAAAGGGAAAGCUGCGGAGGGGAAAUCGGGGAAAGGGUGGGGUGAAAUCGGAAGGGAAGGAAGUUGGGCGCGGUGAAAGGGGUGGAAAGGGAGAGUUGCGGAGGGGAAGUCGGGGAAAGGGUGGGGUGAAAUGGGAAGGGAAGGAAGUGGAGCGCGGUGAAAGGGGUGGAAAGGGAGAGUUGCGGAGGAGAAGUCCGGGAAAGGGUGGGGUUAAAUGAGAAGGGAAGGAAGUGGAGCGCGGUGAAAGGGGUGGAAAGGGAGAGCUGCGGAGGGGAAAUCGGGGAAAGGGUGGGGUGAAAUGGGAAGGGAAGGAAGUUGAGCGCAGUGAAAGGGGAGAAAAGGGAGAGUUGCGGAGGGGAAGUCGGGGAAAGGGUGGGGCGAAAUGGAAAGUGAAGGAAGUGGAGAUGGCGGGUGGAAAGCGUGGGGAGCGAGAAGCCGUGCGGGAGUGGCGAAGAAACACCGUGGCGAUUCGAAACAUUUUGAAAAGUGGGGACAAGUUAGGUUUUCGUUGUCUUUUGAUUAAAAAGAUGAGUGUGAAAAGUUGAGUGUUACCUUAUAUAGAGACAGAGAGCUAGGUCAACAAGUGGAAUGCUCACUAGGAUUAUGGGCUGAGCCAUGGAGCAAUGAUUGUGGGCUGGACUGCUUCUCAAGGACGCAUCAAACUCACCAGAUUGUGGGCUGGGCCAUGAAGCAAUGAUUGUGAGCUGGGCUGCUUCUCAAAGACGCAUCAAACUCGCCAGAUUGUGGGCUGGGCCCUGAAGCAAUGAUUGUGAGCUGGACUGCUUCUCAAGGAUGCAUCAAACUCGCCAGAUUGUGGGUUGGGCCAUGGAGAAUUGAUUGUGGGCUGGGCUGCUUCUCACGGACGCAUCAAGAUUGUGGGCUGGGCCAUCAAAUGAUGGCCCAUUGGGCUUCUUGGUGGAUCGCAGGUCAUAGGAGUAGGGUCAUAGGAGUAGUUUUGCGGAUCGCGGAUCAUCAUAGGAGCAGAUUGGGGAGCAAAAGAAUCAUAUAGACACAAAGGAAAAUAAAACAAGAACAACUCAAAUUCAAAAAAAAAAACAAAAAAAGAGGUGGAAAGGGAAAGCUGCGGAGGGGAAAUCGGGGAAAGGGUGGGGUGAAAUCGGAAGGGAAGGAAGUUGGGCGCGGUGAAAGGGGUGGAAAGGGAGAGUUGCGGAGGAGAAGUCGGGGAAAGGGUGGGGUGAAAUGGGAAGGGUAGGAAGUGGAGCGCGGUGAAAGGGGUGGAAAGGGAGAGCUGCGGAGGGAAAAUCGGGGAAAUGGCGGGGUGAAAUGGGAAGGGAUAGAAGUUGAGCACAGUGAAAGGGGUGGAAAGGAAGAGUUGCGGAGGGGAAGUCGGGGAAAGGGUGGGCUGAAAUGAGAAGGGAAGGAAGUGGAGCGCGGUGAAAGGGGUGGAAAAGGAGAGUUGCAGAGGAGAAGUCAGGGAAAGGGUGGGGUGAAAUGGGAAGGAAAGGAAGUGGAGCGCGGUGAAAGGGGUGGAAAGGGAGAGCUGCGGAGGGGUAGUCGGAGAAAGGGUGGGGUUAAAUGGGAAGGAAAGGAAGUGGAGUACGGUGAAAGGGGUGGAGAGGGAGAGCUACGGAGGGGAAAUCGGGGAAAUGGUGGGGUGAAAUGGGAAGGGAAGGAAGUUGAGCGCGGUGAAAGGGGUGGAAAGGGAGAGUUGCGGAGGGGAAGUUGGGGAAAGGGUGGGGUGAAAUGGGAAGGGAAGGAAGUGGAGCGCGGUGAAAGGGGUGGAAAGGGAGAGCUGCGGAGGGGAAAUCGGGGAAAUGGUGGGGUGAAAUGGGAAGGGAAGGAAGUUGAGCGCGGUGAAAGGGGUGGAAAGGAAGAGUUGCGGAGGGGAAGUCGGAGAAAGGGUGGGGUGAAAUGAGAAGGCUAGGAAGUGGAGCGCGGUGAAAGGGGUGGAAAAGGAGAGUUGCGGAGGAGAAGUCCGGGAAAGGGUGGGGUUAAAUGGGAAGGGAAGGAAGUGGAGCGCGGUGAAAGGGGUGGAAAGGGAGAGCUGCGGAGGGGAAAUCGGGGAAAGGGUGGGGUGAAAUGGGAAGGGAAGGAAGUGGAGAUGGCGGGUGGAAAGCGUGGGGAGCGAGAAGCCGUGCGGGAGUGGCGAAGAAACACCGUGGCGAUUCGAAACAUUUUGAAAAGUGGGGACAAGUUAGGUUUUCGUUGUCUUGUGAUUAAAAAGAUGAGUGUGAAAAGUUGAGUGUUACCUUAUAUAGAGACAGAGAGCUAGGUCAACAAGUGGGAUGCUCACUAGGAUUGUGGGCUGAGCCAUGGAGCAAUGAUUGUGGGCUGGACUGUUUCUCAAGGACGCAUCAAACUCGCCAGAUUGUGGGCUGGGCCAUG
rnacentral:lncRNA from 1 species